rnacentral:rRNA from 1 species
AUGAUGGUCAUUGGCUUUUGUUUUUCAUGUGAUGAUAUUGACAUACUUCCUUUACAUGAUUUGCGCAAUUCAUCUACUAUGCCAUGCCAUGAUCACAUUGAACCAAAUAUGCAUUGUUUUGGAUGUUGUCAAUAUUCUCCACGUGAUGUUUCUACUCUUGCUCAUGAGGAGACCCCCAUUGUUUCCUCAUACAUAUCAGGAGAUCUUGAUGCAUGUCAUACUUUGCAUGAUUCCCAUGAUAGUGUACACCAUAUGCAUUCCAUGAAUAGCAAUGCUCUAGAUAUUUCUCAUGACGCAUUACAACCUUUGAGUCUCCAUUAUGCCAUACAUAACAGCAAACCUCUCAUGAUGGAUGACAUGUUUCUAUAUCACGCAUCUCAUUUAUUUGAGCAUUGGAUAUUUUGUGCUAACCGACACAUGCACGUGCACAUCAGGAUGGAUGAUGUGUACAUAUACCACGCACACACAAUUUUUCCUUUGCCUUUGUUUUGUGUAGGUACUCACAUAUACUCGUCAACCUCUCAAUCCCAAGAGUUGACGAAACGAGCUCUUGAGAGCAACGACACUUUGGGAUCACGUGAAUUGUCCUCACAACCAUUCCUUCGCGCAAUAACUACGCGCAUCUCUUCUACUUGUCUCUCACAUGGCUAUGGGCUAUUUACCACUUGUCACCUUAUGCUCAUUUUCCCAUGUUCACUUUGCAUGUUAUCCUUGCUUCUAUGCCUUUGCCAUGCAAUUGUGACCCUUGUUUGCAUCUACCCAUGA